AUGUCGGGUGGCUCCACGGAUUAUAACAGAGAACAUGGAGGCCCAGAGGGAAUGGACCCCGAUGGUGUUGUCGAGAGCAACUGGAAUGAGUUUGUUGAUAACUUUGAUGAUAUGAAUUUAAAGGAGUCUCUUCUUCGGGGCAUCUAUGCUUAUGGUUUUGAGAAACCGUCAGCUAUUCAGCAGAGAGCUAUUAUUCCUUGUAUUAAAGGGUAUGAUGUGAUUGCUCAAGCUCAGUCAGGUACUGGCAAGACAACCACAUUUGCUAUUUCCAUCCUGCAACAGUUGGAGAUUGAGUUCAAGGAGACCCAAGCACUAGUAUUGGCCCCCACCAGAUAACUGGCUCAACAGAUCCAAAAGGUGAUUCUGGCACUUGGAGAUUAUAUGGGAGCAAUCUGUCAUGCUUGCAUUGGAGGAACCAAUGUUCGAAAUGAAAUGCAAAAUCUCCAGGCUGAAUGAAGCACCAUACAUUGUUGUUGGUACACCUGGGAGAGUGUUGAUAUGUUAAACAGAAGAUAUUUUUCUCCAAAAUGGGUCAAAAUGUUUGUUUUGGAUGAAGCUGAUGAAAUGUUGAGCUGAGGAUUUAAGGAUCAAAUUUGUAAGAUUUUCCAAAAAUUAAAUACAAGUAUUCAGGUUGUGUUGCUUUCUGCCACAAUGCCAACUAAUGUGUUGGAGGUGACCAAAAAAUUCAUGCGAGAUCCAAUUGGUGAAGAAGAAAGAAUUGCCCCUUAAAGGGAUCAAACAAUUUUACAUUAAUGUUGAGAUAGAGGAAUGGAAAUUGGAUACACUUUGUGACUUGUAUGAGACACUGACGAUUACACAGGCUGUUAUUGUUCUCUACACAGGCACAAAGUGGACUGGCUCACUGGGAAAAUGCACGCCAGGGAUUUCACAGUUUCUGCUCUGCAUGGUGACAUGGACCGGAAGGAGAGAGAUGUUAUCAUGAGAGAAUUCCAAUCAGGAUCAAGCCGUGUUUUGAUCACUACUGACUUGUUGGCUCGUGGGACUUAUGUGCAACAAGUGUCUUUGGUUAUAAACUAUGAUCUACCUACCAAUUGUGAAAAUUAUAUUCACAGAAUUGGCAGAGGGGGUCGAUUUGGGAGGAAAGGUGUGGCUACUUUGUUACCGAAGAAGACAAGAGGAUUCUUCGGUGACACUGAGACUUUCUACAAUAUUACAGUGGAGGAAAUGCCAAUGAAUGUGGCUGACCUUAUUUAAUUCCUGGGAUGAGAUAGUUUGAAUGCAGUGCUCGCUGUUGCUGAAUAGGCGAUCACAACGUGCAUUGUGCUUCUUUCUUUGGGAAUAUUUGAAUCGUCUCAAUGCUCAUAACGGAUCAGAAAUACAGAUUUUGAUAGCAAA